GGGGCGUGGAUCCACUAUUUGGUAACUACGCGUCCCACUUCAACAAUAUUCAUUUUCCAGUUAACUCUUACCAGGUCCUUCCGGUGUGCAGACAAAGGAGCGCACAGAGCACAGGCACGCAUACACACCAACGCCAUAGACCAUGUCGGACUCAGAGACUGCAGCUCCUGCCGAAACCCCUGUCCCAGCAGCCUGUGUGGCCAUCAAAGCAGAUUUAGACAAAUGUGUAAAGGAGAAAGGUGAGGAUGGUUGUAAGGAGCUGAUGGAGGCGUUUGCUGCCUGUGUGAAGAGCAAUGCUGAGGCAUCAUGAGGAGCUCAACAUGCAGGAAAAGGGUUAACUGCACUGAGUCCUCCACCUUCCCAGCAUUCCCUGCAGCUCAUGGCACUGGAUUAAUGAUGGGGUUUGGGGUUUGGCAGCAGAGACCAGUCUUGUGUCUCUUCCCUUCUCUACCCCUCCUGUGAAGCUUAAAUGGAUUCCUCCAACCACCAACCUUCCCUCCCCUUUUUGUGGCUGAUUGUAUUGAUCUGAUUUGUAGACCGUUCGGAGCUCAUGAAUUGAUGUAAAUGAUGUGUCUCAGAUGCUUACAAAAUGGAAUAAAGAUUUUAAAAUGGU